AGAGUUUGAUUAUCGCUCAGGAUGAACGCUGGCGGCGUGCUUAACACAUGCAAGUCGAACGAAGCACUGAAAGCGGAUUACUUCGGUUUGAAGCUUUCUUUGACUGAGUGGCGGACGGGUGAGUAACGCGUGGGUAACCUGCCUCAUACAGGGGGAUAACAGUUAGAAAUGACUGCUAAUACCGCAUAAGCGCACGGGACUGCAUGGUCUUGUGUGAAAAACUCCGGUGGUAUGAGAUGGACCCGCGUCUGAUUAGCUUGUUGGCGGGGUAACGGCCCACCAAGGCGACGAUCAGUAGCCGGCCUGAGAGGGUGAACGGCCACAUUGGGACUGAGACACGGCCCAAACUCCUACGGGAGGCAGCACCCCCCAAUAUUGCACAAUGGGGGAAACCCUGAUGCAGCGACGCCGCGUGAAGGAAGAAGUAUCUCGGUAUGUAAACUUCUAUCAGCAGGGAAGAAAAUGACGGUACCUGACUAAGAAGCCCCGGCUAACUACGUGCCACCAGCCGCGGUAAUAC
rnacentral:rRNA from 1 species